UACAGAGGUCCCGAGCGUUGUUCGGAUUCAUUGGGCGUAAAGGGUGCGUAGGCGGCGCGGUAAGUCGGGUGUGAAAUCUCGGGGCUUAACUCCGAAACUGCAUUCGAUACUGCCGUGCUUGAGGACUGGAGAGGAGACUGGAAUUUACGGUGUAGCGGUGAAAUGCGUAGAUAUCGUAAGGAAGACCAGUGGCGAAGGCGGGUCUCUGGACAGUUCCUGACGCUGAGGCACGAAGGCUAGGGGAGCAAACAGG
rnacentral:rRNA from 1 species